AUUGAACGCUGGCGGCAUGCUUUACACAUGCAAGUCGAACGGCAGCACGGACUUCGGUCUGGUGGCGAGUGGCGAACGGGUGAGUAAUACAUCGGAACGUGCCCAGUUGUGGGGGAUAACUACUCGAAAGAGUAGCUAAUACCGCAUGAGAACUGAGGUUGAAAGCAGGGGAUCGUAAGACCUUGCGCAACUGGAGCGGCCGAUGGCAGAUUAGGUAGUUGGUGGGAUAAAAGCUUACCAAGCCGACGAACUGUAGCUGGUCUGAGAGGACGACCAGCCGUACUGGGACUGAGACAAGGCCCAGACUCCUACGGGAGGGAGGAGUGGGGAGUUUUGGAAAAUGGGCGAAAGCCUGAUGCAGCAAUGCCGGGUGCAGGAUGAAGGCCUUCGGGUUGUAAACUGCUUUUGUACGGAACGAAAAGCUUCGGGCUAAUACCCUGGAGUCAUGACGGUACCGUAAGAAUAAGCACCGGCUAACUACGUGCCAGCCGCCGCAGUAACAC
rnacentral:rRNA from 1 species